AGAAUCAACGCUGGCGGCGUGCCUAACACAUGCAAGUCGAACGAGAAAGUGGAGCAAUCCAUGAGUAAAGUGGCGACCGGGUGAGUAACACGUGACUAACCUACCUUCGAGUGGGGGAUAACCUCGGGAAACCGAGGCUAAUACCGCAUAACAUCGCAAGAUCAAAGCAGCAAUGCGCUGGAAGAGGGGGUCGCGGCUGAUUAGCUAGUUGGCGGGGUAACGGCCCACAAGGCGAAGAUCGGUAGCCGGCCUGAGAGGGCGCACGGCCACACUGGAACUGAAACACGGUCCAGACUCCUACGGGAGGCAGCAGUGGGGAAUUUUGCGCAAUGGGGGAAACCCUGACGCAGCAACGCCGCGUGGAGGAUGAAGCCCCUUGGGGCGUAAACUCCUUUCGACCAAGACGAUAAUGACGGUACUGGUGGAAGAAGCACCGGCUAACUCUGUGCCAGCAGCCGC
rnacentral:rRNA from 1 species